rnacentral:rRNA from 1 species
GACGAACGCUGGCGGCGUGCUUAACACAUGCAAGUCGAACGGAAAGGCCCUGCUUUUGUGGGGUGCUCGAGUGGCGAACGGGUGAGUAACACGUGAGUAACCUGCCCUUGACUUUGGGAUAACUUCAGGAAACUGGGGCUAAUACCGGAUAGGAGCUCCUGCUGCAUGGUGGGGGUUGGAAAGUUUCGGCGGGUGGGGAUGGACUCGCGGCUUAUCAGCUUGUUGGUGGGGUAGUGGCUUACCAAGGCUUUGACGGGUAGCCGGCCUGAGAGGGUGACCGGCCACAUGGGGACUGAGAUACGGCCCAGACUCCAACGGGAGGCAGCAGUGGGGAAUAUUGCACAAUGGGCGGAAGCCUGAUGCAGCAACGCCGCGUGCGGGAUGACGGCCUUCGGGUUGUAAACCGCUUUCGCCUGUGACGAAGCGUGAGUGACGGUAAUGGGUAAAGAAGCACCGGCUAACUACGUG